rnacentral:rRNA from 1 species
CAUGCAAGUCGAACGAGGUCUUCGGACCUAGUGGCGCACGGGUGAGUAACAUGCGGGAAUCUACCUGAAGGUUCGGAAUAACUGCGGGAAACUGUAGCUAAUACCGGAUGUGUCUGUAAAGAGAAAGAUUUAUCGCCUUCAGAUGAGCCCGCACUAGAUUAGCUAGUUGGUGAGGUAACUGCUCCACCAAGGCUACGAUCUAUAGCUGAUUUGAGAGGAUGAUCAGCCACACUGGGACUGAGACACGGCCCAGACUCCUACGGGAGGCAGCAGUAGGGAAUAUUGGACAAUGGGGGAAACCCUGAUCCAGCAAUGCCGCGUGAGUGAAGAAGGCCUUAGGGUUGUAAAACUCUUUCAUCAAUGAUGAUAAUGACAUUAGUUGAAGAAGAAGCUCCGGCUAACUUCGUGCCAGCAGCCGCGGUAAUACGAAGGGGGCUAGCGUUGUUCGGAAUCACUGGGCGUAAAGCGUAUGUAGGCGGAUCAAAAAGUUAGAUGUGAAAUCCCUGGGCUCAACCCAGGAACUGCAUUUAAAACUAGUGAUCUAGAAUUUGGUAAGGGUUAGUAGAAUUUCCAGUGUAGAGGUGAAAUUCGUAGAUAUUUGGAAAGAAUACCAGAAGCGAAGGCGACUAACUAGGCCAUUUUUGACGCUGAGAUACGAAAGCGUGGGUAGCAAA